rnacentral:rRNA from 1 species
AGUGAACGCUGGCGGUAGGCCUAACACAUGCAAGUCGAACGGCAGCACAGUAAGAGCUUGCUCUUACGGGUGGCGAGUGGCGGACGGGUGAGGAAUACAUCGGAAUCUACUUUUUCGUGGGGGAUAACGUAGGGAAACUUACGCUAAUACCGCAUACGACCUACGGGUGAAAGCAGGGGAUCUUCGGACCUUGCGCGAUUGAAUGAGCCGAUGUCGGAUUAGCUAGUUGGCGGGGUAAAGGCCCACCAAGGCGACGAUCCGUAGCUGGUCUGAGAGGAUGAUCAGCCACACUGGAACUGAGACACGGUCCAGACUCCUACGGGAGGCAGCAGUGGGGAAUAUUGGACAAUGGGCGCAAGCCUGAUCCAGCAAUACCGCGUGGGUGAAGAAGGCCUUCGGGUUGUAAAGCCCUUUUGUUGGGAAAGAAAAGCAGCAGGUUAAUACCCCGCUGUCCUGACGGUACCCAAAGAAUAAGCACCGGCUAACUUCGUG